CGCUCGCUCCCUCCCAGCCAGAGGCGCCCAGCGGGAUCAUGCAGGCGCUGGUGUCCCCCGUCACCAAGGCGAUCUUUGUGGCUCUGUUCCUCUUCGCCAUCCUACUCAUCCUCUACGUGAUCCUCUGGUACAUCUGCCGCGACGUGGACAACGACUACAUCUGAGGCAGAGUUGAAUCUUGAGGCAGAAGACAGCAUCUUGUGCUUCCUGCCAUCUGGACAGCUACAGGCUCAACACCAUCCAGUGGUGGCCUUCUAUCAUGGCCCCAAACCCAGGGAUGCCGGAAGUAUUUUGGAGGGGUCCAACAUACAGCUGCAUUCAUCACUUUGCAUCGUGAAUUCUCUAUCCCAUGGUCAUGUACAAAAUUGUACUCGUCUCUGAAUAUUGGUCACAGCCUUCAUUUUUUGAUUUGCUGUCACCUGAAUGUCUCAGCCUGCCUUGUUACUGAAGGGUAGAGUUGCUAACCAAACACAGAAGUGUAGAUCCUUGGAUUUCAGAAAAAGUGAAGUCAUCUUUCUCUCACGUACUCACUUCCCUGUGGUAGUGGUAGGCAUAUGUAGACACCAGCUGAAAAGGGGUUGGAUGUUUUUCCUGUUGGAAGGAAGUUUACAGUCUCUCUCUUGAAUAUACCACAGGGUGUGUCAGGAAAAGAUCUGGUUUGAAACUUCUGGAAUUCACUGAUAUAUGGGGAGCCCUCUCCUCUCCCCACACACACACACAUCUUAUUUGCCUUGUCAUAUACCAUUCUUUUUAUG